rnacentral:rRNA from 1 species
UACGGGGGGGUAAGCGUUGUUCGGAAUUACUGGGCGUAAAGGGCUCGUAGGCGGCCAACUAAGUCAGACGUGAAAUCCCUCAGCUUAACUGGGGAACUGCGUCUGAUACUGGAUGGCUUGGAUCGGGAGAGGGAUGCGGAAUUCCAGGUGUAGCGGUGAAAUGCGUAGAUAUCUGGAGGAACACCGGUGGCGAAGGCGGCAUCCUGGACCGGUAUUGACGCUGAGGAGCGAAAGCCAGGGGAGCAA